GUUGGUGUGGCUCAGUGGUAUAGUGCAUGCUUUGUGUGUAUGAUGUCCUGGGUUCAAUCCCCAGCUGCUCCA
rnacentral:tRNA from 1 species